GGAUAAUGUAAGAUUUGGGUAGGCAACAAGCAUAAACUGGUCCUAUGGUGCAAACACUAACAACAUCAGCUCAAUUGUGGAACAGUUCCAUUGCUACAAACCCCCAACCUUUGAUGGCAAGGUAGACCCACUAGUAGCCAAAGAAUGGAUAAGAGGAAUGGAGCGAAUCUCCAAACAUCUAUCUUGUACUGAUGCUCAAAAGGUGUUAUGUGCAGAAUUCAUGUCGGUUGGCAUUGCAGGCCACUGGCGGGAGUCAGCAUCUCGCACCAUAAUAGAAGCAGAACAACGUGCUCUGACAUGUACACAAUAUAAGGACGAAUUGAUGGGAAAAUACUUCCCCCAAGCUCUGAGAGAUCAAAACGAGACAAAAUUCCUUCAAUUUAAACAGGGUAAAAUGAUACUUGAGGAUUAUCAAAGAAAAUUUGAACAACUCUCAAGGUAUGCACCAUACCUAGUAGAUACUGAAGCAAAGAAAGCAAGAAGGUUUGAACUGGGAAUGCGUCCAAAGAUUGGUGGAAUACUGGCAUCCUCCCAAUUCACCACCUAUAGCCGAGUAUUACAGACUGCCCAAGCAAUCUCAAAUAGGUCAGAAAUUGAUCAAACUCCCUAACAAGGAGCCGAGCCUUCAAGAAAGAGGAAAUGGAAUGGGUCCAACGAAGAGAAAGGAAAAGGACAGAACAAGAAGGCUAACUUCGGAUCAAGUUUUGGACAAAUCGUUCCACUUUAUCCAAAAUGCAACAAAAUGUAUAGGGGUGAAUAUCUGUAUAAGAAGCAUGUGUGCUAUAGAUAUGGUAAAACGUGGCAUAUUUCCAAAAACUAAAAAGAGGAACUUUCAAAAAAGAAUGACCAGCCAGAAAAGCAAGGAAAGGCCAGAAUUUUUACUUUAACCCAAGGACAGGCCACAAAAGACUCGAACGCAG
rnacentral:lncRNA from 1 species